AACGAACGCUGGCGGCAUGCCUAACACAUGCAAGUCGAACGCUUCCGGGGGUUUCGGCCUCCGGGGGAGUGGCGCACGGGUGAGUAGCGCGUGGGAACCUGCCCUGUUGCGGGGGAUAACCGAGGGAAACUUCGGCUAAUACCGCAUACGCCCGAGGAGUGAUCUUCGGGGAAAGAUUUAUCGCAGCAGGAGGGGCCCGCGUCGGAUUAGCUGGUUGGUGGGGUAACGGCCCACCAAGGCGAUGAUCCGUAGCNGGUCUGAGAGGAUGAUCAGCCACACUGGGACUGAGACACGGCCCAGACUCCUACGGGAGGCAGCAGUGGGGAAUCUUGCGCAAUGGGCGAAAGCCUGACGCAGCGACGCCGCGUGU
rnacentral:rRNA from 1 species